rnacentral:rRNA from 8 species
UAGGGAAUCUUCCACAAUGGACGCAAGUCUGAUGGAGCAACGCCGCGUGAGUGAAGAAGGUUUUCGGAUCGUAAAGCUCUGUUGUUGGUGAAGAAGGAUAGAGGCAGUAACUGGUCUUUAUUUGACGGUAAUCAACCAGAAAGUCACGGCUAACUACGUGCCAGCAGCCGCGGUAAUACGUAGGUGGCAAGCGUUGUCCGGAUUUAUUGGGCGUAAAGCGAGCGCAGGCGGAAUGAUAAGUCUGAUGUGAAAGCCCACGGCUCAACCGUGGAACUGCAUCGGAAACUGUCAUUCUUGAGUGCAGAAGAGGAGAGUGGAAUUCCAUGUGUAGCGGUGGAAUGCGUAGAUAUAUGGAAGAACACCAGUGGCGAAGGCGGCUCUCUGGUCUGCAACUGACGCUGAGGCUCGAAAGCAUGGGUAGCGAACAGG